rnacentral:rRNA from 1 species
UACGUAGGGGGCAAGCGUUGUCCGGAAUCAUUGGGCGUAAAGAGCGUGUAGGCGGUCCGGUAAGUCGGCUGUGAAAGUCCAGGGCUCAACCCUGGGAUGCCGGUCGAUACUGCCGGACUAGAGUGCGGAAGAGGCGAGUGGAAUUCCUGGUGUAGCGGUGAAAUGCGCAGAUAUCAGGAGGAACACCAAUUGCGAAGGCAGCUCGCUGGGACGUAACUGACGCUGAGACGCGAAAGCGUGGGGAGCAAACAGG